rnacentral:lncRNA from 1 species
GUUAGUUUUCCUCAGAUACAAGAAAUGAUGAGCAAGUUGGAAAUAAAUUUUACAUGAUUCUUUCCCAAAUCCUUUACUACUGUUUUUGUCUUUCUUUUUUAUUUUUCCCUUUUCUUUUAUUUCUUCUUUCUCUUAUUUAUUUGUUUAUUUAUAUUGUUAUAGAGUAGUCAAGUCAUUUCCAUGAUUUUUUUUAUUAUAGAUUAGAAAACUAAAACCGAUAUUAUAACCACCAGAGCAAUAGUAAAAGCCACAUAUAAUGGUGAUUGACCUCUUUUCUUAUUCUUAGUUUCGAAUCAAUGGAAUUUAAAAAUAAAUAUCCCUUUUUCUUAUGUUUUAUUUAUCUUUCUUUUUAGACUUAUUUAAAUUUCCAUCUUCAUAUUCAAAAUUUGAUUUCUAUCGAUUUGACAUUUAUUCUUGUCUGAUGUUUUUUAUUAUGAUUUAUU